rnacentral:rRNA from 1 species
CGAGUUUGAUCCUGGCUCAGGACGAACGCUGGCGGCGUGCCUAAUACAUGCAAGUCGAGCGGACCAAAGGGAGCUUGCUCCUGGAGGUUAGCGGCGAACGGGUGAGUAACACGUGGGCAACCUGCCUGUAAGACUGGGAUAACAUCGAGAAAUCGGUGCUAAUACCGGAUAAUAAAAAGAACUGCAUGGUUCUUUUUGAAAGAUGGUUUCGGCUAUCACUUACAGAUGGGCCCGCGGCGCAUUAGCUAGUUGGUGAGGUAACGGCUCACCAAGGCGACGAUGCGUAGCCGACCUGAGAGGGUGAUCGGCCACACUGGGACUGAGACACGGCCCAGACUCCUACGGGAGGCAGCAGUAGGGAAUCUUCCGCAAUGGACGAAAGUCUGACGGAGCAACGCCGCGUGAGUGAUGAAGGUUUUCGGAUCGUAAAACUCUGUUGUUAGGGAAGAACAAGUGCCGUUCGAAAGGGCGGCACCUUGACGGUACCUAACGAGAAAGCCACGGCUAACUACGUG